UUAUUAUUAUUAUUGCAUUUAUUAUUUUACUCUAUUUAUUACUAUAUGUAUUAUUUUCCUGUAUUUAUAUUAAAAGGAUACAUAAGCACAUUUACAUUGAAGAAGAUGAGAAUAAUGAUUUGAUCAGAGUUGGACAGUCUUAUCUUAAAUUUGAGCUUUAUGUAAAUAUUCAUAAACAUUUAACCUACUGAGGCCUCAAUUAAUGUAAUUUUAUUGGUAUCUAUUUUUAUUUCUGAAAUUUACCACCCUCGGCUUAUACUGGAGUCAAUGUUUUCCCAGGUUUUUUUGUAGUAAAAUUAGGUGCCUCGGCUUACGUUCUGGUCGGCUUAUACUCGAGUACAUACGGUAAUCAUAAUAAUACGAUACAUGAAAGAAUUGGGAUGGACAGUUGAGCUGUGCGGACGGUUGAGCUAUGCGCAACAGCGGUUUGUGGUUUGUGAGAGCUGUGAGUUGGGAAAUUCCGAUAUUGAGAUUUUGGGCAAUGGUCUUUCUAGUUUCUGGUGAGGAAAAAGGUUUCCUGACAAAAGCCCAAAGCCAAGAGCUGGAAGGCUGCCUUAGAGACAGAUUGAGGAGGCAUCGGAAGCAUCUUUCUCUGUGCGCAAAGGGAGCGCAAACAAUGGGAAGGCUCUGGCUGGUGUUUCUGGCUAGUUACCUUCUCCUGGUGGCUGCCAUUUCUGGGGCGGAAACCCCAGGGCCACCGUCUGCAGAAGCAACCCCGGCUUCGAUCUCGGCUCCUGCAUUGGAGGGGACGGCAUCCCAAAACAUUGCUGACGCCAACGUACCUGUGUUGGUGCCAAGAUCAAGGGUCUACAAGCCCUGGAGGGACAGGCGGAAACCAAAGAGGCCAGUGUAUAGGAUUGGAGCCUACACCUUUCUGCGCAAGGACAAGAACACCCCCAUAUUCGUCAUCCCAAUCCGGCUGUCUUCCUGAGACCAUCGAUUCAUCGGACACCUUUCCUGCCGAUCGUCUUGCUUCUGAUCCUUUCCUUUGUAGGAACGUUUUUCUUGAUGCCAGGUGUAACGAAGUGUGAUUUUUUUUAGUUUACAGAUGUCAUGUUUAGUUGCGUUUUAAAAGUCAGUUUAAAAUAAGUUUGGUGACUUAUUUUAAGUUAGCCUGUUUCCAGAUAAGGAACAGAUAGUCUGUGAUUGAAAUUCACAGGGUGACUGCAGGUUAAAGCAGUAAAGGAGGAAGUAGUAUUUCAAAGUUUGAAACAUCUCAAUAUAGCUUUGCAACUGUUAAUCUAAGUGCCUCUAAAGAAGUUACUGUAACCUUUAAGCUUGUGCCUGAAUAAACGUGUUAUUGUUCUUUUUAACAUCUCAGUCUCUGAAAUCUAUAUUACCAUCAAAAGCAAACAAGAAAGAAGAAAAAUAAAAUUUUAAAAGUCUCCUCUCUAAGUAGCCAGUGGCUAUAUCAUCCCAUAGUGGUGGCAAGAGUUGAUAAUCCCCUUAACAUCUGGUGGCCGCCUUAUAAACAUCUUUACCUCUGGUGGCAACAUUUAAAUAAAACAUCUUUAAUAACUGGUGGCAGCGGAUAUAAAAUAUAUAUCAACUAGCUGUGCCCGGCCACGCGUUGCUGUGGCAAAGUAUGGUGGUAUGGGAAAUAAAGUAUUGAGGAAUUGGUGGUAGUUAAGGUAAAGGGUAAAGGUUUCCCCCUGUAGAGCAAAAUCUCACUUAUCCAACAUUCGCUUAUCCAAUGGUCUGGAUUAUCCAACGCAGUCUGCCUUUUAGUAGUCAAUGUUUUUGUAGUCAGUGUUUUAAAUUCUUUGUGAUAUUUUGGUGGUAAAUUUGUAAAUACAGUAAUUACAACAUAGCAUUACUGCGCAUGGAACUACUUUUUCUGUCAAAUUUGUUGCAUAACAUGAUGUUUUGAUGCUUCAUUUGUAUAAUGAUUACCUAAUUUGAUGUUUAAUUGGCUUUUCCUUAAUCCCUUCUUAUUAUCCAACAUAUUCACUUACACAACGUUCUGCCGGCCUGUUUAUGUUGGAUAAGUGAGACUCUACUGUAUAUUUAUAAUCUUAUAUUAUCUGCUUAGAACUGGAUUAUAUGAGGCCCCUUCUACACACAUUAAGUCCAGUUGUGUCCGACUGCACACUGAAGUGGAUUAUAUGGCAGUGUGGAGUCAAGAUAAUCCAGUUCAAAGUAGAUAAUAUAAGAUUAUAAAUGGGUUAUAUAGCUGUGUGGAAGGGUCUUGAGUCUACACUGCCAUAUAAUCCAGUUCAAAUCAGAUAAUCUGUAUUUUAUAGGCAAUGUGGAAGAGGCCUAAGUGAGGCCUAACUCUGCCUGUCUCCUGGGCUGAGUGGGUUGCUAGGAGAGCAAGUGGGUGGAGCUUAGCCUUCUAACUGGCAGCAAUUGGAUAAAAACAAUUAUUCCUUUCCUUCUAAUUAGGACUUUAUUUUUCUUUUCUUUUUGUUGCAUGAACGUAGAGGCAUGGAUGAGGGGUUGUGCUGCCAAGUUUAGUGUUUCUGGGAUGUGUAGUUUUGUUGUUUUGUCCUAGGCCGAAAUUUCAUUACCCUUUUAUAUAUAUAGAUAAUAUAAAUAUAAUUAAUUAAUAGAAACUCCUCCACAUCUUUGCAAUUUGGUGGCAGAGGUGGGAUUUUUCAAAAGAUUUCCCCCCUGCCUAGAAAAACCUCAGCCUUUAUUCAACCUCUUUGCACCCGGCGAAACCCCAAGUUUGUCUCAUGGGGCGUAUCCACAUCGCAUGGGUAUUGCACUUCGAUCCCACUUUCAUUGCCUUGGAGCCCUAGGAUUUGUAGUUUGAGAGGUGCUUGGAAUUCUAGAGCUCAAUGGCAGAGAAUAUUAAGAUCUUUGCCAAACUACACAUGCCAGGGUUUGGUGUAAUGGAGCGAGAGCAGGUGAAACACUGUCAAACGAAUUGGCACCGCUUUGUUGUUGGAGUUGUAGUUUGACAUCGUCUUGAGCCUUCUCUACGAAACAGGGCUAGUUCCUCACCAAACUACAACUCCCAGGAGCCCAUAGUAUUGAACCAUAGCAGUGAAAGUGGUGCCAAACUGCACUGAUUUGACAAAAUAGAAUUGAAAUGGUAUCAAUCUGGAUAUGCAAUGGUUUGUGUGUUACUCUCCACCUUUUCUUACAGCCAACAAAACAAAACAAAAGUGUCUGUAAUUGAAUGUAUAUCUGAUUUAUUGUCUGUUCUUUCUCCUAGCAAUAAACACCAUGUUUUUCUA